CCCGCCCAGGACCGCCGCGCGUCUGCAGGCGGGGUCGGCCGCCUCUGGGUCCCGCUUGAAAUUCUGUAGAAGCCUGAAAGCUCGCGGAGCGCGGACUCCGAGUGAGUUUGAGGAUGUGUGCGGCUGGUGGCUGCGCCGGGGCCCCCGCGGAGAAGGUGGGGGGCCCCGACACCCGCUUGCUUGGACCGUGCGCUAUGAGAAGAUGCUUCCCCUGAAGGGAAUGGAGUACCAAUCACUGGCACUAUUGGAAAAACUGAUAGAAGGCUGUGGAUUACAGACAGAUGAGGAAACUGAGGCACUGAGGACUUCAGGAACUUGCCCACUGUUUCACAGCCAGGAAGAGGCAGAUUGCAGAUUUGGAGCCCAGAGAGUGCUGUUCUUAGUGUACACUGCCUCCUUGAUGCUGCUGGUCUCCCCCGGUGCCACCUCCAGCUUCAGGCUCCAGAACCUUCACGGUCAGGCUCUGGGUUCUGACCUUUUCCUGUCUUCAGCAACUAAAGAAUAAGAAGCAGGCAGAGACACAGAUGCUCCACGGCAGCCCUCCACGGACACCCAGCAAGCGGCGAGGUCUGGCACCCAGCACUCUGGGCAAAGUGCGCAAGGAGAACCAGUGAGAAUAUAUGGUGUUUUUCCUGCUUUUGUAAAAAGCUUUUACAAAAUAGAGAUCACAUAUAAUUUUGAUUUCUCCUUUUCUCCUGCUAAGUUUUGGUUGUGACUUCUAUUUUUUUUUUUUUUUUUUUUUUUUGGUCUUUUUGCUAUUUCUUUGGGCCGCUUCUGCGGCAUAUGGAGGUUCCCAGGCUAGGGGUCCAAUCGGAGCUGUAGCCACCGGCCUACGCCAGAGCCAUAGCAACGCAGGAUCUGAGCCGCGUCUGCAACCUACACCACAGCUCACGGCAACGCCAGAUCGUUAACCCACGGAGCAAGGGCAGGGACCGAACCCGCAAGCUCAUGGUUCCUAGUCGGAUUCGUUAACCACUGCGCCACGACGGGAACUCCUGGUUGUGACUUCUUUUUCUUGGCAUUAAACUUUCUUCAAAUACAUGCUCAGUAUUAACUGUAUAUUCUAUUCUGAUGUCAUUAAUCAUAUGCAACUGCAAAUGGCAUCCUUCCAGUUUUCAUAUCGUGGGAAAGCGAGGGUCAAAGUUAACAGGGAACUCCUCUGGCUUGGGCACGUUCCUCAUGAGUAGGCUGAGGCUCAGCCAUGCAGGAGCAGGAGGGGUGAGACUGCAAGCCUAGGACGGGGCUGUCAGUGUGGCCCAACCGCACAGCUGAACAAGCCACACCUACUUGUUCCAGGUUCUAAGCUCCCAGGAUUCCAUUAUCACUGAGAUGCUAAGAGUGAACAGAUGUAAAGUGUCAAAAGCUAAAUGAGAAAAAGAAGAGAACGGUCAUUCGGAGCCCCAGCAAGUAUCAUGGAACGCCCUGGAAUGUGCCCAGGAAACUAGAGUCACCGGAGGCUCACUUCAAAAGCUGGUCUUCAGUUGCGGCUGAGCAAAGUCCCGGCCUGCGGGUUCCAGCCCGUUGACACUGGAUCACGAAACACAAAUAGGUGUCAUUACUUCUACCAGUUUGAGGAGAAAAACACCCGCUGGUGUCAAGCCUGGAACCAAUGAGAAGAACCUGGAGCUCAUUGGCAGCAUCCUCAGUGAGCUGCUAAAGCAGGGAUGGAGCACUGGAAGGAAGCGAUUUCUCCCAUGAUGCUCUCCGGCCCC
rnacentral:lncRNA from 1 species